GCACGAGCUACUUGGGGAUUGCCGAGACAUUAGGGACAACUCCGAGUUCUGCCAGAGGACAGAAACCCAGAGAACGGGUCAUGCAGGGGCAGCACGAGGUUCACAAUGAAACUUGGACCCUCCAGGAUCUGUUUUGUUUUACACUCCAUGUGUUCUACACCAGACCUAGGAAAGUGGGAAUGAUGGCAUGUGAUGAACACACUUCAAUGCCAUCGACCAGAGCCAUCAGACCAACAAAAAUAAGCCAAAGGAGG